rnacentral:lncRNA from 1 species
AAAUAACAUUACCUUUAGUUUGUAAUUAGCAUUUAAUCUAAAUUUAAAUGAUUUUCUCUAUUGAUAUAUAUGAUAAACACCAUGAGUUUCUCUUUUUGUAGAUGGAACAUGUCUUGGAUAAAAACCGUCCUCCAGGAGAUCUUGGAUGGAAUCCACCGUAAGAAUUCUUAGUCCAAUGUAAUGUAAAGAACAUAGAAUGUAACACAACAUCUGAAGAGUGUUUCUUUUUGUUAUUUCAGAUUGGGAACGCUUGUCUAAAAGUUGUGGAGGAAGCUGCACAGACGUGUAAUUUGUCAUCCUGUUACAUCUUCUCUUUGGUUCUAGACAUGAUGGUGGUUGUGUGUUCAUGUCUGUGUGUGUCUGUUUCCUUUAGGGGAAAAUGUCGACAUCGCUGAGCUUUAUGAAGGAUCCUCAAGUUUACCUACUGCUCUCCUUGCUGGUACUAUUUUGAUUGUUGUUUUUUUUUCUCCUGUGUGUACAUGUUUACUAAUUUGUAUCAAUCCCUGUAAGAAACCUUCAGGUCAGAGGUCAUGCUGAUGUUUCCAUCUUGGAGCAGACAGACAGGUCAAGCUGAUCACUACCUGCUUUGUCAGGAGGAUAGCAGCUCUGAUUUACCCUGGACCCUGGCUGGAGAACACAGGAAGAGAUCUUGAGAUCUUUCCCAAGCAGAUGUCCAGCAAUUGCUGCGGCAUUUUCAUGCUGAUGUAUGCUCUCUCCAUCUGCACAUCGUCGGAAAUGACAUUCACUGAAGGGGACAUGCCGGCAAUUCGGCUGUGGUGGUGUCUUCAGUCGAUGGAGAGAUUUUGCACUGACGGGUAUGACUGCUACUGGAAUACCAUCAUAUUCACAGUUCUCCAAACUGUGUUUAUUUGCAGUUAUGGCACAGAGCAGACAUCAGGUCACACAAAUGUUAAUGAAAGCUGUUUACUGUAG